GGGGCUGAUUCUGGAUUCGACGGGAUUUGCGAAACCCAAGGUGCAUGCCGAGGGGCGGUUGGCCUCGUAAAAAGCCGCAAAAAAAUAGUCGCAAACGACGAAAACUACGCUUUAGCAGCUUAAUAACCUGCUUAGAGCCCUCUCUCCCUAGCCUCCGCUCUUAGGACGGGGAUCAAGAGAGGUCAAACCCAAAAGAGAUCGCGCGGAUGCCCUGCCUGGGGUUGAAGCGUUAAAACGAAUCAGGCUAGUCUGGUAGUGGCGUGUCCGUCCGCAGGUGCCAGGCGAAUGUAAAGACUGACUAAGCAUGUAGUACCGAGGAUGUAGGAAUUUCGGACGCGGGUUCAA
rnacentral:tmRNA from 1 species